rnacentral:rRNA from 1 species
CUAUUUCCUCAAAUCAGGUAGGACUACCCGCUGAACUUAAGCAUAUCAAUAAGCGGAGG